rnacentral:rRNA from 1 species
UCUGGUUGAUCCUGGCAGAGGUUACUGCUAUCGAGGUUCGACUAAGCCAUGCGAGUCGAAUGUAGCAAUACAUGGCGUACUGCUCAGUAACACGUGGACAACCUACCCUUAGGUCGGGGAUAAACCCGGGAAACUGGGUAUAAUACCCGAUAGAUCUCGACUGCUGGAAUGCAUCGAGAUCGAAAGCUCCGGCGCCUAAGGAUGGGUCUGCGGCCUAUCAGGUAGUAGUGGGUGUAGCGUACCUACUAGCCUACGACGGGUACGGGUUGUGAGAGCAAGAGCCCGGAGAUGGAUUCUGAGACACGAAUCCAGGCCCUACGGGGUGCAGCAGGCGCGAAAACUUUACAAUGCUGGAAACAGCGAUAAGGGGACCUCGAGUGCCAGGUUACAAAUCUGGCUGUCGUGAUGCCUAAAAAGCAUUGCAUAGCAAGGGCCGGGCAAGACCGGUGCCAGCCGCCGCGGUAACACCGGCGGCUCGAGUGGUAACCGUUAUUAUUGGGUCUAAAGGGUCUGUAGCCGGCCGGAUAAGUCUCUUGGGAAAUCCAGCAGCUCAACUGUUGGGCUUUCAGGAGAUACUGUCUGGCUCGAGGCCGGGAGAGGUGAGAGGUACUUCAGGGGUAGGGGUGAAAUCUUGUAAUCCUUGAAGGACCACCAGUGGCGAAGGCGUCUCACCAGAACGGACCUGACGGCAAGGGACGAAAGCUAGGGGCACGAACCGGAUUAGAUACCCGGGUAGUCCUAGCCGUAAACGAUACUCGCUAGGUGUCGGCCACGGUGCGACCGUUGUCGGUGCCGUAGGGAAGCCGUGAAGCGAGCCACCUGGGAAGUACGGCCGCAAGGCUGAAACUUAAAGGAAUUGGCGGGGGAGCACCACAACGGGUGGAGCUUGCGGUUUAAUUGGAUUCAACGCCGGAAAUCUUACCGGGACCGACAGCAAUAUGAAGGCCAGGCUGAAGACUUUGCCGGAUUAGCUGAGAGGUGGUGCAUGGCCGUCGUCAGUUCGUACUGUGAAGCAUCCUGUUAAGUCAGGCAACGAGCGAGACCCA